rnacentral:rRNA from 1 species
AUUGAACGCUGGCGGCAUGCUUUACACAUGCAAGUCGAACGGUAACAGGCCGCAAGGUGCUGACGAGUGGCGAACGGGUGAGUAAUGCAUCGGAACGUGCCCAGUCGUGGGGGAUAACUACUCGAAAGAGUAGCUAAUACCGCAUACGAUCUAUGGAUGAAAGCGGGGGACCGUAAGGCCUCGCGCGAUUGGAGCGGCCGAUGUCAGAUUAGGUAGUUGGUGGGGUAAAGGCUCACCAAGCCAACGAUCUGUAGCUGGUCUGAGAGGACGUCCAGCCACACUGGGACUGAGACACGGCCCAGACUCCUACGGGAGGCAGCAGUGGGGAAUUUUGGACAAUGGGCGCAAGCCUGAUCCAGCAAUGCCGCGUGCAGGAAGAAGGCCUUCGGGUUGUAAACUGCUUUUGUACGGAACGAAACGGCUCUGGUUAAUACCCGGGGCUAAUGACGGUACCGUAAGAAUAAGCACCGGCUAACUACGUG